UGAACCUUCCCAAAGUAGUCAUGCAACUGGGAAAAGCCACAGAAGACAGGUACAAAAAAAAUUCCUCUUUUACAAUCCAGAACUCAUUGUUCAGUAUGAACUUUGUUAAAUACACAAAGGAAUAUG